UGGGACCUCCCCACCCCCUGGCCCCACACAGCCCCUGCCCUGCCCACCCCUGACCUCCUCAGGAUGAGGGACCAACCGGGGCCUGUGAAGGGUCAGAGAGCUGGGGGUCUCAUGCAUGGAUGGGUCCUCCCUCUCUCAGAGGAUGAAGAGGGGAAGGAGGGGUUAGGGAAGGUCUGCUCAGCUGUGGGGUCACAGAGGGCAGGAGCAGUCAUGAGGAACGGGCCUCCACCAUGGCCUGGGUCUCUCUCUUCCUCAUCGUACUUGCUCACUGCACAGGGUCCUUGGCUCAGUCUGUGCUGACUCAGCCAUCUUCAGUGUCUGGGUCCCUGGGCCAGACGCUCACCAUUUCCUGCACUGGAAGCCCAGCCAACAUUGGGGCCGGUUAUUGUGUGUUUUGGUACCAACAGCUCCCAAGGAUGACCCCUAAAACCAUCAUCUAUGAGAACACUCGUCUUUUGGGGGUCCCAGACCAGUUCUCUUGCUCUGGGUCUGGCAAGUCUGGCUCCUUGACCGUCACUGGGCUCCAGGCGGACGACGAGGCUGAUGAUCAUGGCUCAGCGUGGGACAGGAAUCUCACUGCUUACACAGUGCUCAGUGCUUUGGGGAAGUGCGACAAAAAUCUGCUGUUUCCCCAGCAACGGUGCUCUUCUCACAGCCUCCUCUCUUUGGCCAAGUCAGCUGCUUCCUUCGUUUGGUGUAAACUGUAGUGUGAGAACAAUUUCAAGGAACUUUGGUUAGCAAAUGAUCCAUAUUCUAUUAACUUCAGGCCCCCAAGCCUGUCCUCGGCAGGAACACAUUGUAGGAGAUUCUCCUACCGAGGAGAAAUUCCUGGGCGUCAGGGGCCAGCUGUCCUGGGGACAGAUCUGUGACGGGUCAGGACAGAGACAGGAACAAAGAGUCCAGGUGUGUCUGAGUGUUGAUACAGUGCUGCCCAGAUAAUGUGCAUCCAUAGCACUUCCUGAACACCUAGUGUGUGCCACAAUGACUCUAGGGAUGUGGGAUCCAUGUGGACGUGACAGGAAGGGUCCCCAUGUUCAGGGAGUUGACGGUGUCUAGGACAAGAGAGAGGACACAGAACCUAAACGUGUUGUAAAGGAAGGUUGUGUCCCAGGAUCUUGAGGAGGGAUGAGGUUUUUGGGGUUGGAGCUGGAGCACUGUAGAGUUUGACAGUGAACCCCAGAUCUGAUGCUCCGUAAUGACAUCCCAGUUGUGCACAGAUAAGGAAGGAGCAGGAGGGGAGCAGGAAGGUGUGACUUGGCAGGGGCUGUGGACUGAGCCAUAGUCAGGUUUGGGGCUCCGGAUGAGAGGUAGAGGGAUGGGGAAGGUCAAGGGCCUCAUGACAGGA